GUAGUCUCGCACAGAUGCAUAUCAAUAAGCGGAGGAAAAGAAACUAACAAGGAUUCCCCUAGUAACGGCGAGUGAAGCGGGAAGAGCUCAAAUUUGAAAUCUUAAGGGGUUUCCCUUUACGAAUUGUAGUUUAAAGAAGUGUUUUCUGUUGAGGUUUUGGUAAAAGUUCUUUGGAAUAGGACAUCAUAGAGGGUGAGAAUCCCGUAUUUGACCUUUACUUUCAACUUUGUGAUACACUUUCAAGGAGUCGGAUUGUUUGGGAAUGCAGUCCAAAAUGGGUGGUAAAUUUCAUCUAAAGCUAAAUAUUGGCGAGAGACCGAUAGCGAACAAGUACCGUGAGGGAAAGAUGAAAAGAACUUUGAAAAGAGAGUUAAACAGUACGCUGAAAUUGUCAAAAGGGAAGCGUUUGACACCAGUGUUGUUUUUCUGAAAAUCAAUUAAAGAACUGUUUAUGCUAAGCUGUUUAGACUUUAUCAGCUAUACUGUUUAGUUUUGAGCUUUUCUUUAAUGCACUUUUCAGUUAACAAGUCAACAUCAAUUUCUUUUGCUGUAAAAAAGCUCGAGGAAGGUGGCUUGAGAUUCGUCUUAAGUGUUUAUAGCCUCUUGCCUAUGCAGUCGGAGAGAUUGAGGUCUGCAGCGUAGAUCCUUCGGGGCUAAAUGCAUUUGUGCUAAGUUAUAGCAUUUCAUAGACAACUUGUUGACUAUGAUUUGUCUUGUAGCUUACUCGCUUAUGUUAUUUUACCUACGCUUAGGAUGUUGAUAUCGCGCUCUCACUG
rnacentral:rRNA from 1 species